rnacentral:lncRNA from 1 species
AACAACCCAAACACACAAACAAUAGCCAUGUUUGCAAGGGUUUGGCAGAUGAGUGACUGUUACCUGAGUAACCUGAGGUUGGGAGUUCGAGACCAUCCUAACCAACAUGGUGAAACCCCAUCUCUACUAAAUACAAAGAUUUUGCUAGUGUCUCCUGUCACACUUCUCCCCUCAGUCUCCAACUUUUUCACCUAUAAGUCCCUCUCCCAACUCUUUUCAGCUUUUGCUGCUUAUUCCUCUAUCUCACGGGUUUUGCACAGAACCAAGAGGCAGUCUCUCCACUGAAGCACUAGUUGGAGAAGAAGGCUAGCUACAUGAGGAAAGAAAACCAGCCAAUUGUACCUGCCUUCAGGAACUGACUGCUUACUUCCUGCUCAAAGAGGACCUAGAGGCAGGAGGGUAGAAGCAUCAAGUUUAAAUAAAUUUCUACAAUUUUAAUUCCUGAAUUGAAACUGUAUUUGUGAUUCUAAAGGAUGUAGCAUAUGUACUACCUACGAGUGAUGAGAGAAGUAAUGAGAUCUGGAAGGCUGAAUAAUGGCCUCCUAAAGAUGUCCACAUCUUAAUCCUUGGAACCUGUGAAUAUGUUACUUGAAUGGCAAAAGAGACUUUGUAGAUACAAUGUAGUCAAGAAUUUUGACUUGGAGAAAUUAUCCUGGAUUAACAAGCAUGGCCCAAUAUAAUUGCUGGGGUCCUUAUGAAAGUUAUGUAGGAGGGUCAUAGACACAAAAGGCAAUGUGAUUGCAGAAGAAGAGGGACAGCAAGAGGUGGAAAGAUGCUAUGCUGCUGGAUUUGAAGAUGGAGGAUGGGACCACAAGCCAAGGAAUUUAUGCAGCCUCUAGACUCUAGAAAAGGGCAAGAAAACAGAUUUUCUCCUAGAACAUCCAAAAGGAACACACCCCUGCAGACCUGUUUUAGGACUUCUGACCUCCAGAACUGUAAGAUAGUAUAUAUGUGUGGUUUUAAGCCACCAUAUGUUUGGUAAGUUUUUAAAGCAGCAAUAGUAAACUAAUACAUGCGAUUUGCUCAAGUUUUCAUGAAGAUGCAAGGGAAAAGCCUUAUUGACUAAAAUUAAAUGAACAGGAGGAAACAAAGGGAAAAAGGCUAUUUUGUGAUUUUGUAUCUCACAAGGCAAGUUUGUUUAAUGUAAUAGGUGCACUUUGUCAUCUCCAUUAGUAUUCACAAUAACUUUGUGAUUAGCUAUUACAGUUCUCAUUUUAAAAUGGAGAAACUGAACAUCAGAAGUUAAGAAACUUGCCUAAGGUGACACAGUCGGCAAGUGAGACCAAAAUAGGGAAAGAACCUGCACUACUGGUGGUGCCCCUGCUGGUACAAGCACUCUCUCAUCAACCUGGCUCCAAAGCCCAUCCCUUUGUCAUUGCACUAUGCCAUCUUUUAGGUGUUAUAUCCCAGUAAACCCAUUGUUAAGUUGAAAAUAUUGUAAGUCAAAACUGCAUUUAAUAUACCUAACCUUCUGAACAUCAUAUCUUAGCCUAGCCUACCUUAAAUGUGCUCAAAACAUUUAUAUUACCCUACAGUUGGGCAAAACCUUAUAACACAAAGCAUAUUUUAUAAUAAAAUGUUAAAUAUUGCAUGUAAUUUAUUGAAUACUACACUGAAAGUGAAAAACAGAAUAGUAAUAUGGGUACUCAAGUAUAGUUUCUGUGAGUAACGCUUCUGCACCAUUGUAAAGUUGAAAAAUAGUCAAAGCAUUGUCGAGUCUAGCACUGUCUGUUUAUGUAAUGUGGGUACAAGGAAACUCUGGGGAACGCUGGAUAUGCUCAUGAUCUUGAUUGCAGUGAUGGGUUGCUGGCUGUAUACAUGAUUGAAACAUUUCAAAUUGAACAUUUUAAAUGUGUACAUCUUAUUAUAUGUCAAUUAUACCUCAAUAAAGCUGAAAUAGGAGAAAAAGAUAUAUUCAAAGAUAUGUUCAACAAUAGUCCUUCUGUCUCCUCCUUUCCCUGCCCUAUGGUCUCUCCCUCAGCCACCCCAUCUCUGGAUUGACAGCCCAGUCUGAGCUGUGUACUGGCUCUCUUCCCAGUCUUUUCCCCGUAGGGGAUCCCUGUCUUAGUAACUGUCUCCCUUCAGCUACAGCAGCAGGGACCUUGCCAGA